GUGCCUNAUACAUGCAAGUCGAACGAGUUCUGAUUAUUGAAAGGUGCUUGCAUCUUGAUUUAAUUUUGAACGAGUGGCGGACGGGUGAGUAACACGUGGGUAACCUGCCCUUAAGUGGGGGAUAACAUUUGGAAACAGAUGCUAAUACCGCAUAAAUCCAAAAACCGCAUGGUUCUUGGCUGAAAGAUGGCGUAAGCUAUCGCUUUUGGAUGGACCCGCGGCGUAUUAGCUAGUUGGUGAGGUAACGGCUCACCAAGGCAAUGAUACGUAGCCGAACUGAGAGGUUGAUCGGCCACAUUGGGACUGAGACACGGCCCAAACUCCUACGGGAGGCAGCAGUAGGGAAUCUUCCACAAUGGACGCAAGUCUGAUGGAGCAACGCCGCGUGAGUGAAGAAGGCUUUCGGGUCGUAAAACUCUGUUGUUGGAGAAGAAUGGUCGGCAGAGUAACUGUUGUCGGCGUGACGGUAUCCAACCAGAAAGCCACGGCUAACUACGUGCCAGCAGCCGCGGUAAUACGUAGGUGGCAAGCGUUAUCCGGAUUUAUUGGGCGUAAAGCGAGCGCAGGCGGUUUUUUAAGUCUGAUGUGAAAGCCCUCGGCUUAACCGAGGAAGUGCAUCGGAAACUGGGAAACUUGAGUGCAGAAGAGGACAGUGGAACUCCAUGUGUAGCGGUGAAAUGCGUAGAUAUAUGGAAGAACACCAGUGGCGAAGGCGGCUGUCUGGUCUGUAACUGACGCUGAGGCUCGAAAGCAUGGGUAGCGAACAGGAUUAGAUACCCUGGUAGUCCAUGCCGUAAACGAUGAAUGCUAGGUGUUGGAGGGUUUCCGCCCUUCAGUGCCGCAGCUAACGCAUUAAGCAUUCCGCCUGGGGAGUACGACCGCAAGGUUGAAACUCAAAGGAAUUGACGGGGGCCCGCACAAGCGGUGGAGCAUGUGGUUUAAUUCGAAGCAACGCGAAGAACCUUACCAGGUCUUGACAUCUUUUGAUCACCUGAGAGAUCAGGUUUCCCCUUCGGGGGCAAAAUGACAGGUGGUGCAUGGUUGUCGUCAGCUCGUGUCGUGAGAUGUUGGGUUAAGUCCCGCAACGAGCGCAACCCUUAUGACUAGUUGCCAGCAUUUAGUUGGGCACUCUAGUAAGACUGCCGGUGACAAACCGGAGGAAGGUGGGGAUGACGUCAAAUCAUCAUGCCCCUUAUGACCUGGGCUACACACGUGCUACAAUGGAUGGUACAACGAGUUGCGAGACCGCGAGGUCAAGCUAAUCUCUUAAAGCCAUUCUCAGUUCGGACUGUAGGCUGCAACUCGCCUACACGAAGUCGGAAUCGCUAGUAAUCGCGGAUCAGCACGCCGCGGUGAAUACGUUCCCGGGCCUUGUACACACCGCCCGUCACACCAUGAGAGUUUGUAACACCCGAAGCCGGUGGCGUAACCCUUUUAGGGAGCGAGCCGUCUAAGGUGGGACAAAUGAUUAGGGUGAAGUCGUAACAAGGUAGNCGUNGGA
rnacentral:rRNA from 2 species